rnacentral:lncRNA from 1 species
GAGAGAGAGAGAGAGAGAGAGAGAGAGAAACGUUUUUCCCCCCUCUGCCUCUAUCUAGUUCCUCAGGCUGGUGCCUGCCCACAUUGAUGAGAGGAUAUCUUUCUCAGUCCACUGAUUCAAAUGCUCAUCUCUUUCAGAAAUAUCCUCACAGACAUACAUAGAAAUAAUGCUUUACUAGUUAUCCAUUAAUCCAGUCAGGUUAAAACCUAAAGUUAACCAUUACAACCAGUCUGAGUAUAAUAUUUGUAUGUAUAUCAGAUUUGCUAUAACAACCAACCUUAACAUCUCAGUUUUCUAUGACAAAAUAGUUUAUUGCUUUAUAAAUCACAGUCCAACACAGGUUAUCAAGCUAUAGUGGUGGUAGGUUCUACCCCACACAGUCAUUCAAGGACUCGGGCACCUUCAUCUUGUGAUUCCACUUUUCUUUUGGUCCUUACUCUUCUCUGCAUUCUGUCCAUGGUUAGGAAAAAUCAAGAGGGCAUAGAAAAAGGCCCACACCUCCAACACAAUCACCUCAGACUGGAGGUGACCUAUAUGACUCCCAUUCAUAUACUAUUGGGAAAAACUAGUUGCAUGGCUCUAUCUGUUAUAUAUACAAGUCCAGACACAUAAGGACAAAAGAACAGCACAGGUUGGACAGCAUGACACAUUUACUAAAAGUUCCUCCACAGGACCAAUUCGUAAAAAAUUACUAAGUUAAAGGUUAUGAACAUUUUAAUUUAGAUAAAUAAUGUCAUAUUAUUCUCUAUGAAAAACAACUUAUACUCUGACAAUAGUAUA